AUUGAAACACGACUUCCCAUAUGAUCACCAAAGUUAAACAACAUCAAGCCUGGUCAGUACUUAGAUAGUUGACUGCUUGGGAAUACCAUGUGCUGUAA